GCAUAUCAAUAAGCGGAGGAAAAGAAACCAACAGGGAUUGCCUCAGUAACGGCGAAGUGAAGCGGCAAGAGCUCAAAUUUGAAAGCUGGCCCCCUCGGGGUCCGCAUUGUAAUUUGCAGAGGAUGCUUCGGGAGUGGCCCCCAUCUAAGUGCCCUGGAACGGGCCGUCAUAGAGGGUGAGAAUCCCGUCUGGGAUGGGGUGUCCACGCCCGUGUGAAGCUCCUUCGACGAGUCGAGUUGUUUGGGAAUGCAGCUCUAAAUGGGUGGUAAAUUUCAUCUAAAGCUAAAUACUGGCCGGAGACCGAUAGCGCACAAGUAGAGUGAUCGAAAGAUGAAAAGCACUUUGAAAAGAGAGUUAAACAGCACGUGAAAUUGUUGAAAGGGAAGCGCUUGCGACCAGACUCGCCCGCAGGGUUCAGCCGGCAUUCGUGCCGGUGUACUUCCCUGCGGGCGGGCCAGCGUCGGUUUGGGCGGCCGGUCAAAGGCCCUUGGAAUGUAACGCCCCCCGGGGCGUCUUAUAGCCAAGGGUGCCAUGCGGCCAGCCCGGACCGAGGAACGCGCUUCGGCUCGGACGCUGGCAUAAUGGUCGUAAGCGACCCGUCUUGAAACACGGACCAAGGAGUCUAACAUCUACGCGAGUGUUCGGGUGUCAAACCCGUGCGCGCAGUGAAAGCGAACGGAGGUGGGAACCCCUCGGGGCGCACCAUCGACCGAUCCUGAUGUCUUCGGAUGGAUUUGAGUAAGAGCGUAGCUGUUGGGACCCGAAAGAUGGUGAACUAUGCCUGAAUAGGGCGAAGCCAGAGGAAACUCUGGUGGAGGCUCGCAGCGGUUCUGACGUGCAAAUCGAUCGUCAAAUUUGGGUAUAGGGGCGAAAGACUAAUCGAACCAUCUAGUAGCUGGUUCCUGCGA
rnacentral:rRNA from 1 species